AUGGAAUAUGGGUAUAAAUAUCCCUCCGACCUGAGACCAUCAUGGUGACUUGCAAGCAACUCACUACACUUAGGCACUGGACUACCUGAAUUUUUAAUUCAGUGACGGAAGGCUGCUGGGUGUAGUCAAGUACUUGACUUGUCGGUGCGUAUGUCAAGAUGGGAUUGACCACUCCAGUUUAGGAGCUGUGUACAGUCAUGUUUUAAUUUAGCAAAAUCUUGGCCAGGGUAGUCCUUGUGAGGAGUCACAGGACUGUUUGAGUUGAGCACAAUUCGGAUGAUCUGAUCAGGGUAGACAGUUUAACCCUGAGUCAUCCUAAACACAGGGGUCAAAAGGAUGAAUUAUACAGUAACCAUAUUCAUGUAGGUUCUGAGUGUUGCGAUUGCAACUCUUCGACCUAUCCGGAUGUCGGGUACCAUUGCUAGAUGGCCACUUCGAUUAGUACAGAAAUUGGUUCCUGUGCUACCGGCUUAGGUUCGAACCUACGGAGUCACAUACAUUAGA
rnacentral:lncRNA from 1 species